AAAUAUACAUCCUUAUUUCUGUUUUACAGAUUAAAAAAAAAAUGAAGGCUCAGAGAGGAAAACUGACUUAGCCAUGAUCACCAAGUUGAUGACUGGCAGGAGAAUGACUGACCCCAGGUAUUGGAAGAGAACACCAGGAAUAAGGUGGUGCAAGAGAAAAUCACAUCCGUACAUUGGAGCCUGGUCCUAUGAGUUUUCUGUCUCCGUCAGGGCAGCAGGUCUCCACAACAGUCAGUGAAUCCUGGUUGUUCUUCUUUAUCGAGAUGUAGCCAUUUCCUCUAGCUCAGGACUUUAAACAAAAUUAAUGUGAUCCGUGGCAAGAAGUAUAUUUAUCAUUAUAACCAAAUUUGUAAUUUUCUGUGUAUAUAAUUAGAAACAAUUUCAUGAAACAAUACUUACUCUAUCACAAUGUUCUGUGAUGCUUCUCUCCGCCAAUGAUUCUUGAAUUUUAAUAUGCUUGUUAACUAGCAACUUUGUUAAAUAUAUGAUUCCGAUUCUGUAUCAGGGGAGGGGCCUGCAUUUAUCAAAUUCCUAGUUAGAUGCCUCUGUUUCUAGAACUGCAUCUUAAGUAGCAAAGUUCCAGUCAACUUCAGUGCUCACUUACUCCAGUGAGUUUCAAGUGUAUCUGGGCUGGCAGCUGGCGUGUGUCUAGGUGUGAUACUGUGUCAGGCAUCUCUGGACAGGUCGCAUGCCUAUCUGGGAUAUUCUUGCAAAAGUGGACUUCUUACAGAGUGGCAUCAUAGUUGGGAGUAGUUGAGAAGACUAAAACAUGGCAGAGGAAAAGGGAAAGAGGCCUUCUUGACAUAUAUGCACUUUAUCACCAUGUUGACAUAACAGAUCUAUUACAACUUGGACUAAACAAGCCUAAGUAUUCUGCAUAAUGUGGACACUCAUGUGAAAAGCAUAUAGAAGAUGGCUGAGGGUGUCUAUGACAAUGACAUGUAUAACAGAAAGAAAGAAAAACAGUUCCUGAGGCAUCAUCUCCCUUAGUCUGCAGUAUGAAUGCUUCCUGUGUCCGUCAGUGUUCUUGUUUCUCAGUAACAGAGACUAGCUCUGUCUGACUGAAUAAAAACAAAACCAGGGGAGAUGAUUGAAGGAUUCCAGAAGAGUAGACAGCUGUGGGGACAAAGGUUGGAAAUGAGCAAGGACACCUUUAAAGGACUAGAAAGAAGCAUCAAAGCCAUGACCUCAGAACAGAAACAGGCUGGGCAGUCUGUGCCUGCUGACAUUAAUGAACUUGAACCAUUUCUUUCCUCAGUCCCCACUUCAAGCUUCCAGGAUCAAAGUCACAGGAGAGACAAUUUAUCUGGCUGAACUUGGGUUUCACAUUAUAUCCUGAAUGAAUGUCUUGGGAAAACAAAAACAAUUUGGUUCUUCAAAUGUCCACAAUGGGCCAGAUGCCUGUAUUUGAUUCCUUCAAGAGCACAGACAAGUGGGGCAGUGAAAUGCUUCCAAAGAAAAUAAGAGUCCCCUUGGGAAGAGGAAAUGAAUGCUGAGCCAUCUGUAAAAUACACUGAAGAAAGCCCUGACCUGUGACUGCUGGACAAUGAAUCAACUGGGACACUUGCUCUCAGUCCAGAAGGAUGGUGAAGGGGACUUUCUAGUUCUUUGGGAACCCCAGCUAUCAUCUCAAAGCCAAGGACAGUGAGCGGUCCUUACACUAGGGAAUAGCUCCAAACUCAACCCUUUCAGAACUUACUUAAAGAUGUGAAAAAACCAACUCUCUUAGUGCCAUCAGCAUUGUCACUGCCCUAUCACAACCUUUUCUCUUUACUCCUAUAGGGAAAAUCUAAGGGAUCCUAAGAGUCAUCAGAAUUCCAGCUAUGUGGAAGUUGUUAUCCACUUUAAGGCUUUCCCUUCCCCAAUACAAGAAAGAAGGGGAGUAUUUCUUCCUUCCCUGUGAGAGGUAACUAUGGAGGAAGGAAGAGAAGCCAUAGCAUAAGCUUCUGGGUAUAUAUAGUAACACUAAUAAGGAAAAUAAUCAGGAACACAUCUAGGUUUUUCAGCAGAAAUGCAAUUCCUCCCUGAAACUAGUCUGUGAAAAUCCCUAACCAAAUACCAUGUGCUGGAGUUCUUUUCACCAGUAUUUCCAGCCCUGGACACUGACCCUAAGGCAAUCCAAGCCUUCACUGAGCUAACAAGAAGAAUUCUCCAUUGCCCAAGAUCUGAAGUCAAAGUCUGUGGUAGAUAUACUUAGUUGACUGAGCCUGUCAUGUCCCCACAGCCAUGAGGCAAAGCAAGUAUUGUUGCUUUUGUAAAAGGAUGGUCUUCCCAUCACAUUUCAUAAGGAGGGUUGCCAUUAGCUAUACAGAACUUUGUGCAAAACAAGGAAAAUGAAGGUCUCUGUUGGCAAUGAUAACAGAUGUGUUUCCUACUUGCCAGUGGUUACAAGCCACUGCCUAGGUUCAAAGGACAGUGCAUACAUGGAUUAUGGCUUCAUGUCCCUCUCUGCUGGGAGCCUGUUCUCAGUGUAAACUGAACAGCUAUAUGCAAUGGCCAUGCUUAUAUGGUGAACAUUCUUUUUUUAGUACAGAUAACAAAUAGAUCAUAAAAGGAACAUGUCAGGCUUAGAAGAAAAUACAGUGGACACAUGAGCAUGCAGCUUGAUGAAGACCAGUGGAGAAGUAGUAUUAUGAAGCCAGAACAAGGAGCCUGUCAUGGUGCUAUAUUCUUGCAAUCCCAGCACAUAGAAGGCAGAAGGAGGAAGAUCAUAGGCCAGUUUGGGCUGUCUGACAGAGGAAAGGCAGUGACAAACAUUGAACUUCCACAUUCCACAUAGUUAAGGUGUAAUUGACUCUUCAUCAUAAGGUAGGUCUGCCCACAAAUCAUGUGUCAUGUGUGGAGUUUGGCUUCCAAUGGAUUACUGCAUCUAUGUGAUUGGAAGAGUAUGGGCACAUUGACUCACUGGUCAUCUGGGACCAGUGCUCUAUAUUAAGACCUGCAACUCCCUUUCUGGUUCAGAAAAUAAUUGCCUUAUGUUUAAUGAGAAAUAUGUAGAAAAAGUUUCAUAUAUUUUGUUGUUAAAUUAAUAUCAUUUGUUCCCAAGUAAAAAAAAAUUAAUCUAAGUAUUUCAGAAAGAAAAGGGUGGAAUUUACUUUUACUGCUGUAUAGUAAUCAAUAUAGAAACGUUUAUCCUUAUGUGCAUUAUUGACUCGAGUAAACACUAUUAAGUUGUUACUAUUUUCAUUCUAAAAAUGGUAACUAUAGAAAAGACAAAUGGAUUGAUCAGAUCAUUCGAUGUUGACUAAUUGGUGGAAAAUAGGUUUGAUUCAGUUAGGCAAUGUAUCUGAACACCUUUGAAUGUGGCCCCUUCUACUGUACAUGAUUAUAUAGUUAUUGUGUCUGGGCUGCUUGACAUUACAGAUGUGAUAGCUGGAGUUUCUACAGGUGAGUUGGGGUUGUAAGAUUAUUGGGAGAGAGUUCAAAACACAAUGGAAAGAGUGGUCUGUAUUAGGGGCCCAGAAGCAGAACUGUGCAGAAGGAAGAGUGGACUGUGAUAACAUUUGUAUUACACCCUUCUGAGUAGGCCUGAAAUGGAAUCAAGGGUACCCAAUUUUAGACAACCUAGGAGUUAUUCAUUGGCUGUAGGAUGCUCCCAGGGAAAAGAUGUGGCCAGGUGAAGGGGGGGGGGUAUUCCAGAUGAGAAGUCAUCUAUGGUCAGUGUUCUCUGUAGAGGAGAAAUGGAUGUGCUGGUUUGGUCCUGAACAGCAUCAUCAUGUCCACUUACUCCAAAGACUUCUCUGGUUUCCCCUCCUGCUCCCUUCGUCUUGCUCUCUGCUUCAAACACUCUAUUUUCUGGGCUUCUGUUCAAGUAAAGCAGGUUCACUCCCUCCUUUGAGCUCUUGCUGUUCUCAGCCUGGAACAGGAAACAUGCUGCUUGACUUCUUCCAUGCCUUAGUUAAUUGUCUUGGAUUUCCAUACCUGUGGAAAAGAACCUGAAAUAGAUAGACACAAAGGAAGAGAGGUUUGUUUUGGCCUGUGCUUUCUGAGGUUUUGGUCCACAGUCACUUGGCUGUACUGUGACAAUGCAGGACCUCAAGACAGGGAAUGCUUGCAGAGCAAAGUUGCUUGCUUUGGGGCAGAGCUGGACAGAGGGAGACAUCUUGCAUCCUUGAUAAAGCCCUUCCCACAAUUGAGUUCUGAAUCCAUGGGUUUAUCUGACACAAAGGCAGAGGCCUCACUACAGAAUCACCUCCCAAAGGUCCUACCUCUGAAGAAGCCUGUGUUAAUGACCAAAUCCUCAUCACAUAUAUGUGGGGAGUCAUCUAAGACCCACCCUACGCCACCCAUUUUCUCAAUGCUGCUUUCUGUUUACAGCCAAUCACACCUUUCCCAGCACAAUUUCAUUCUCUCUCCUAUGUUCUUAUUCUCUUUCUCCUUCUUUUUCCAUCUCCCUUUUCACCUUCUGGCAUCCUAUAUGAUUUACCUCUUCAUCACAUGUAUUGUUUGGUUCCUGUCUCGCCCUGGCUGGAACAUAAACUUCCCAAGAAGAUCCUGUGAGGAUCUGUGUCUACUAUGUUUACUUGAUGUCACCAUUCACCCUUCAGCUAAAGAGACUGUGAUUGUUGUUUGGCUAAGGAGACUAUAUGACAAAGCUCCAGUUUUCACAAUGUAGAUAAAGAGACUGUAAGAUUGUUGCUUGGCUAAAGAAACUGUAGGACAAAGUCCAUGUAGUCCAGUUUCUGGUUGAGUGGAUACAGCCCUACUUCCUCCUUUAAUUUUAUUGCUUAAAAAAUAAAAUCAUUUGUAUAGUGAUCUUUAGAUUCAGUGACUUGUUCCCUUUUGCCCUCAGAAUACUGAUGAUCUGAGAUGGUUUGGGACAGUAUUGAAAAAAGUAGUAUAAAACCUACACAUUUGAAAGAAUUAAUAUUGAUGAAAUGGCUGAACAGCAUGUUCUAACUAGUCUCUGGAGAUUGGGAAAGUACAUAAAAAUCCACAAAUGAGUUUGGGAACAUUUUCUGCUUACUUUGUAAUGAAGUUUUUAAUGCUUUUAUAGAUAUAAAAUGCAAAUUUGAAAAGUAAGAAUCAAGAAAAAAGAUAUGAUUUUACAUUGAAAAAAUCAUUAGAUUAUAAAAAUAAGAAAGAUAGAAAUAUUGCAGUAAUUAUAUUUGAUAUAUAAAUAAAGAUAUAUAUAAAGGUUUAAAAUAGAUUAUAGUACAAUUUGAUAAGAAUUUUUGCUUUGCUUAUUACAAGUUGAGAAUCAGCCUUUUAGAUUCUAAAUUGUCUGGCAAUCGUGACCAUAAGGAAAUGUCAAAGGCCUCUCCUCUGCUUAGUUAAACUUUGUCUACUUGCUCCCUGAUCUCUGAUCUUGAAUUUUAUGACUAUGACUUUUCAAGGAUGUUUUGAUUCAUGUUGGGAAAAUAGUCACCUAUUAGUUAUUUUUGAAAUGCAAAUAUUGAUUGAUGUAUUCAUUUUUGUGAGAUAUAAAAAUAAACUCUGUGGCCCUGGGAAGAGA